rnacentral:rRNA from 1 species
AUUGAACGCUGGCGGCAGGCCUAACACAUGCAAGUCGCACGAGUGGCGGACGGGUGAGUAAUGUCUGGGAAACUGCCUGAUGGAGGGGUAUAAAUACUGGAAACGGUAGCUAAUACCGCAUACCAUCAGAUGUGCCCAGAUGGGAUUAGGUUGUUGGUGGGGUAACGGCUCACCAAGGCGACGAUCUCUAGCGGGUCUGAGAGGAUGACCAACACCAGGGGAACGCAGACACGGUCCCGACUCCACAGGGAGGCAGCAGUGGGGAAUAUUGGACAAUGGGGGCAAGCCUGAUGCAGCCAGGCCGCUUGUAUGAAGAAGGCCUACGGGUUGUAAAGUACUGUCAGCGGGGAGGCGUUACCCGCAGAAGAAGCACCGGCUAACUCCGUGCCAGCAGCCGCGGUAAUUC